AUGAAACGUCUUGUGUGUCGCGCUAAAGAUGGGUAUGCUUUUAAGCUACUGUGUACUGCUCCUAUUGACUGCAUUUGUACUUCUGGUCUUAAUACAAGAGGAUUGUUGCUCUUUUGUCCUUGCAGGAUGUGCUCCAUAUAGCGGGACAGGACGCGGAAGACUCGGAGGCACUCCUGGAUACAAUCGUAGUUGUGACUACGCUAAAGUAAACUGACGAGGAUGUGCUCUACAUGACAAGAGAGGACGUGGAAGGCCUGGAAGCAUUCCUGUAUACAAUCGCAUCUGUAAACUUCUUCGUUGAGAGUCUUCUUAUAGACCAAUUUCGUCCAAACCACUCAUACAGUAAAUGUCUUCGAGCUCACUUGUGAAGGAUAUUGACACGGCCAUGAUAUGAGAUUGAGUUAUGCCACUGUGUAUAUAAGUCAUUGUGAUAUUCAAGGCACGACAAUAAGGUAAUAAAAAACGAGGUCGUGUUGGUGGUGAUCUUUCCGACUGAACACCCGGUGCUCUUGUAGCCC